CACUUGCACAUGGGUUAGUCGAU
rnacentral:siRNA from 1 species